rnacentral:lncRNA from 1 species
UAGGCCCUUAUCCCCCCCUUUAUACCCAAACGCUAAUUUUUUAUCCGAGAAUAGUAAUUCUCGGUUAUCCCCACCAACACCUCCAUUUUCUAUAUAAAAAUAUCUAAAAUUGUUCUUAUCCCCGGGAACAACUCAAUUUUCAUCCAAACACUAUUUUUCUUAUCCCCAUAUUUGUACCUAUCCCUGUAAUAGCUAGUUCUUGCUUAUACCCGAACCAAACGGUACGACUCCAUUCUUUGCAUGACUGGAAGGUCUAUUGUUCUAGUUGAUCCAUGACGUAUCAAAUUUGUAUAACAUUUGAUUUUUUUUUUCUUUUCCAGGUAAAAAAUCCUCAAGUCGAUCUCCCAUGGGGUAUAGGUUUGGGUUUGUCAAUGUGCUGCUUCUUGUAUAUGCUGGUUUCUGUUGUAAUUGUCGGUCUGGUACCAUAUUUUGCAAUGGAUCCUGACACUCCAAUAUCAACAGCAUUUACUCAAAAUGGGAUGCAGUGGGCUGUGUGAGUAUCAGUUGCCUUUUGACCAAUAAUCAUAUGACAACUAGAACAGUUUUGCUGCCUUUUGCAUGUCUUGUGACAUUAAUCAAACUUCUACCUGUUUUUAUUGGGUGAUAGGUACGUCGUUUCCACUGGAGCGAUUCUUGCUCUUUGCUCAUCUUUGAUAGGUUCAAUUCUUCCACAGGUAUAAUGUAUGAUUCAAGAAACUGGAUGAACUUUGUUUUAUGAACUUCUGUACCAUUGAAGCAAUUUAGAUAACUUUCAAUAUAUUUCAACUUUUUAUUAUCUCUUAAAUUGUUAUAUAUAAAAAUAUAAAAACACUGUUCUCUACCGGCUUGAGCUUUGGAGAUAAACGGUCGUUUUCUUUAAUUUAAUAUGGUAUCAGAGCCAGAGAUUUUGAGUUCGAAUAAUGCCAGACUCCUAGCAUAAUUGAUUUUUUCUAUUUAAGUCAAGUUCACGUCAUGAGUCUAUUAAAAAGUCUCAAGGCUAGCACUGUUCUCUACCAGUUUAAGCUUUUAGAGAAUAACGGUUGUUUCAUAUAAUUUAAUAGAUGCUAAUUGUCCUGGAAGAUAUUUAUGCUGUUAGCUUCCUGCAUGGUAAAUGUCGCUUGAGAAGACAAGAUAUGAGAAGUAUACAGAGACAGGUAUCAGUCAAAGAUAAAAUAGAAAAACAUGGUGAGAGUACUGCAAGAUUACUUAGAUUUGAUGAAGCACUUUAGGAAAUUCUGAUAACUCAUCGGUUUUAGAUUGUUGGUUCAUACAUUUAAAGCUUUCUCUCUUGACCAAAAUAGUUCGCAGCUACGUAUCUAUUACUUGCAAAAAGGACUUCUGCACAGUGACUUGUUCUUGACUAUCAAGUAUCAGUUUUUAAGAAACUUUCGAAGUAAUUGGAUCCUUUUCUUCAUUCAAGAAUCUCCUCCCUUCCUCCACUCUGUCCCAAAGAGUAAUUAAGACCAAUUCAGUCACGUUAUCAUGUUCCAAUGGACAGGUCUUUACUAAAGCAGUUUUUUUUUCCAUCAUUUUAGGAGCUAAUAUAUUUUGUUUGCUUUCUUUCUUUAAACAUCUAUUUGUGAAAAGUGUGUCCUCUUCGAAAUAUAAAGUUUUAUGUCAGUUUUCUUGCAAAAAUACUUAAUGCAACUGUAAGUUUAAUUGUAAAGGCUGAGCAACCUUAAGCAUUAAAUUCUUCUUUGACUUUCAUCAGCCACGAAUAUUGAUGGCCAUGGCUAGAGAUGGACUGCUUCCACCUUUGUUUGCAGAUGUUAACAGAAACACGCAAGUUCCUGUCAAGAGCACACUUUUGACUGGGAUUUCUGCUGCCGCCCUGGCUUUUUUCAUGGAUGUAGCAGAAUUGGCAAACAUGGUAAGGUUAUUGCUGUAGACCAUAUGCUCUUAUUAUAACAAAGUGCAGUGCAAAGUAACUUUUCUGUUUCUCCCUGUUUUUUAAGAUGAUUUAGGCUGUAUUGCACGUUCUGCAGUUUUGUUUUGAAUUUGUGAACCAAGUCAGAAUUGAUGUUUAAUUUCCUUGAUCUCCUGUUCAGGUCAGUGUUGGUACACUUCUUGCAUUCACCGCUGUUGCAAUAUCUAUUUUGAUUCUAAGAUACGUACCUCCAGAUGAGGUGCCCAUACCAUCGUCGCUUCGAGAAUCAAUAGAAUCUGCAUCGCUGCAUUCAAGUUCAGGAGAUAAAAAUGAGGGAUAUUCAGGAAAUCUUGUUGGAACAAAUAAUCAAAAUAGUCAGGAUGGCAUGGCCUGUAAUAAUGAUGCUGAAACAGCUUGUGAUCCCCUUAUUGUGAAGGAAAAAUUUACAGGUGAACAGAAAAUUAUUUAUUAUUUUCUGUGCUCCCUUUUUCGCAUUAUGGCUUGUGAGAAGGAUUUUGAGAAUGUCGCAAGUAUCAUUUGUUGACUGGCCUUAAUAGGAGUUGUUGAGAAGUUGAUAUGCCUGAUUCAAAAAAAUUAACACAGACAAGAUGGUCGUGAUGGUUAAGUCGUGAAUAACCCUUCUAGGCUAUUUCUUGCAGCUAGUGCGGGAUAAAUCAACAAUUAUACAUAGUUAGGAGAGAGAAAAAGAUAACGCAGCACCAACAACACAGAUGAUAUGUAACGCCCCCAAUAGUCCCACAUCGGAUGGGAUACUGAUUUCGAUCAGUUUAUAUGAGGCCUACACGCUAGUAAUAAUAACUGAGCUUAAGCAUUUUGGGCUGUGGUUGGCCCCAACGAGUUAUUAUUGCUAGUGGGAUGGGUCGUUACAUUUGGUAUCAGAGCCGGCUCACCAGCUGGACAUGUGUGGCGAGUCUCGACUGAGCCAGGGUCUAGAUGACGGGCUAGCGAGAUAAGUUUCACAUUGCCUGGUGAUCUUGGGCUGUAUGUGUGACUGACGAGGACGUCAGGGUCUUAAUAGGAGGAGUCUGUGACACCCCAAUAAUCCCACAUCGGAUGGGAAUGGAGUUGUCAUUGGGUUUAUAAGAGACUUAGACACUAGUAAUAAUAACCCGGCUUAAGCAUUUUGGGCCGAUGGUUUGGGCCCAACGAGUUAUUAUUGCUAGCGGGUCGGGUCGUUGCAUGAUAUGGAUAAUGGAUGUCAUGAUGUGCCCUGGAAUAAGAUCAGUAGUAAUCAACAUCUAUUUCAUUCCUUUUUCCAUGAAAAGCACACUAAGAAAUUAGAAAAGCAAGCAUUUCGAAAGCGGAGUGAAAUCCAUUCUUACCACAAACCGUACCACCCUACAAGUUUCGCCUGUUUUUCUUUUUGACUUACUGAUGCAUGUUUCAGCACAUAAAGCACCUUGAUAAUGGAACCACUCAGAACUUGGACCUACACCUUCACAUAUUUUUCCAAAUUUUUAGACAGUCAACAAGUAUCUUACUUAUCAUUUUUGCAGUCAAAUAUUCUCUUUCAAUUAGAUUUAAUUGCCAUUUAAAGUUAUUCCUAAGGUUACUGACAUAUCAGGCCUCUAUUUGGAAUUCAAAUCUUGUAGUAUAUAAAUGUUGCAGAUGACAUGAAUGAGAAAGAAAGGCGAAAAAAAGCAGCUCGGAGCAUAGCAAUUGUGUGUUUUGGAGUUCUUGCUCUCACGUCCUCUGCCUCAUCUGCAUCCUUGCCAUUGUAAGUUGCAUCUUUUGCUUGCUCCUUUUGGCAACGCUGGCAUAGAAUCAGGCUUCUGACAUGAUGAGCUAUUACUUCAGUGCUCCAAGAAUGCUUUUUGUCGAUAGUAUUAGGACUUGUUUAGGCAUAUUUACCUUUUAAUUUCACUUAUGAAAUUUUUGUAAUCCUUUUUUUUAUAUUCUUUAUACCUAGCUAUUUGCAGUACAUAGCAUGGUCUGUUGGCGGAUUGCUCCUUUUGUGUGGUACAGCUGUGCUCUACUGGAUUGACCAAGACAAAGGUCGGCACGAUUUUGGACAUACUGGAGGUGUAGAUCACUAAUCUUAAUGCAAUCCUUCCUAAUUGUUGUGAUAUGGUAUACAUAAUAUGCAUGAUAAAGCGGUGAAACUAAUUUGUUCUUGUUCCUCCAGGAUUUCUAUGCCCGUUUGUUCCUUUGCUGCCCAUCUUUUGUAUCCUCAUCAAUGUAUACCUGUUGGUAAACCUUGGGUGAGCAUUCAAACUUAUCAGUGAUUUUCUGCUGCUGUCAUUGUUUCAAUUUUUCCUUGUAAUAAGAUCAGUAACAUAUAGGCAAAUAGCCCUCUAGUGAAGAGUUCUUAACCGGCAUCAAGUAUGUAUGAUUCUUAUCCAUACAUUAAGGCUGCAGAAAAAUUUGAGCAAAUGAUUCUCAGUGAUGUUUGCUAGAACGCAACUUUAUAUUCUGGAGUUCUCGAAAAGCCUGAGAAGGGUUCUGAGCUAACCUUCAAAUUUCUUAAUUGUGCAGAGUUGGCACUUGGAUUCGUGUUUCUGUAUGGCUAAUGAUUGGAGUAGUAAUUUACCUCUUAUAUGGGCGCACUCAUAGCUCACUAACAGAUGUGAUCUAUGUGCCUACAGCCCAUGCUGACCAUAUUUAUAGAAGUUCACCCAAGAGGGUGGCUUAAAUAUCAUUCUCGCCACUUCUAUAUUCAGUAAUCCAUGUGUAAUUGGUUUUGUACAUCUAUACGUAUUUCGUUGUUAAGUAUUCCUGAUAUGUAACUGUAAAUGCUGAACAUUUUGAUUUUUUCCUUUUCUUAAGUGAGAAGAUAUAGAAUUGGAACAAAAUUAAAUUGUACAAACACAGGAAUAAAUUGAGGGUUAAAAUGUGUUCUAUUUGAUAUCUUUGCUUUCUUUAAUCUCUUCAGUUACUAUUUUGCAUCUCUAUCUGGACUAUUUUUUUUUGCUCUGGUUGAUUUAAUGAACAGAUGGCAGCCUAACCCCAAUCGUUCCUGAGCUAGACCAGCUCUGUUCAUUGAAAAUACACCUUGAGGAUGAAAGAUUCUAUGCUGCCAAAUUAUAGUUUUCAUUAGUUUGUUGAAGAUGCGCUCCAAGCCAUUCCAUGUUCUACAAUGAAUUUCAAGUCAUUUUUAUGAGUGUGACUAACGAACCUACAAUGACAAAGAUCAAGGGCCAAACUAAUCUAUUUUCGGUCUCUUGAGUUCGGGCUUGUGUCAAGCAUUAUCACAAUGGCCACCUCGAUUCCAACCAUUUAGAAUGGAUAAACUUUCACUAUUUGGAUCCAGCCCUUACUCAUCUGCAAUACCCAGAAAGUUACCAAUGUAUCUCCAAUUAGCCUCAGUAAAAAGACUCUUAAGCCUGAGCUUCAAAUUAGAAAUACACAAGAAAAGGUUCGUUGUCCGGAUAUUCCAUGCGUACAUUACUGGUCUACUGAAAAAUCUGUAGAACUCAAUGAGAGAACCAACUUAGUAAUGAAUUUUAUACCUCCUGAAAAAAUAACAAGAAGUUACAUGAGAACCAGCUUGAUCUCUAUGGUCUAUAUUUCACACAUAAAGCUGUGCAAAAGCUUUACAAUCUGAAAAUUUGGCAGAGACAAACUUAUUAGUGGGGAAACAUUUUUUUUCCAGUAACAAAGUUGAGGAAUAAUGUCUGACCUCCAAACAACCAUCAUUUAUUAACACUGCUGCUGGGGGGAGAUAAUAAUCAGUAAAAACUGGGUAGAGAAGAGAUAGGAGGAACAUAAAAAAUCAAUAUGCAGCCUCCACCACUGCAAGUGGCAACAUGAAAUCAACCAGAGAUAGCUACAGAAUAGCUUGCCGUGAGCCACAGAAGCCUUGGUGGUGGAAAAAGGACAUGCUCUCACCAAUCACCAUUGGAACUUGGCAGCAACGAGCACCUCCUCAUAAUGCUUAGCAGCAUUAUCCCAACUGAGGUCCUGCAUCAUUCCUCUCUUUUGGAGCCCCUCCCAACUUUUCUUAUAGUUUCUGUACGUCUUCAAACAAUUCCCGAGUGCAUCUAUCAUCCUAUUCGCCUCUGCGCUCUCAAAUGUCCAUCCUAGCCCUGUCUCCUCAUAAGGAUUGAACUGAUGAACAGUAUCUCUAAGACCGCCAACCCCAUGAACAACAGGAAUAGUCCCGUACAUCAUGGCGUAAAGCUGGUUCAGUCCACAAGGCUCAAAUCUCGAGGGCAUUAAAAGGAUAUCAGCACCAGCAGUUAUCCGGUGAGCCAUCUUCACAGAAAACCCAACCCAUCCCCUGACCCAAUCAUGGUACUGGCUCUCGAGACCCCUAAGCAUAUCUUCAAGGUCUGGCCUUCCCGAUCCCAACAUGAUUAACUGUACAUUUUGACUAGCAAUCCAGGGAAUGGCCUCUGCUAUGAGAUCCACACCCUUCUGAUGAUCCAACCUCCCGAUGAAAGCUAUUAUAGGAGUAUUAUCAUGAACCGGGAGGCCAAGCUCUCGCUGCAAGGCAGCCUUGCACUGAGCCUUUCCCUGUUGAAAAGUCUCUAUAGAGUAGUUGGUGUAACCAUCAGAUUUUAAGUGGAUGUCAAAUUUAGGAUUCCAAUCAUCCGUAUCAACACCAUUCACGAUACCCUGGAGUUUCCAGUCAUUCUCAGUAAUGAUAUUGUUCAGGCCCCAGCCACCUUCUGGUGUUUUCAGCUCCCAUGCAUAACCAUGGCUAACAGUGACUACCCGAUCGGCAGCCUUUAAACCAGCUGCGAAGAUAUUGAAAUGAUCACCUCCGAAUGGGUCAUAGAGUUUAAAAAGAUCCAUGUAGUGAUGUGGUAAACCCACAUGAAGGAAGUCAUCUAUGGGUCCACGGCCCUGGAUAAGAUGUCUAAAUUAGUGAUUCAAAAACACUAACCCAUCAAAAAAAAUUGUAAGGUCUAGUAAGAGCAACAAGCAACUAGAGAUGAGGAUGAAAUGCAAUGCAGUAUAGAUAAUUUAGCAAGAUUGAGUAAGAGCAACAAGCAACUAGAAUUGAGGAAGAAAUGCGAUAUAGUAUAAGGACUAAACUACAUACUUGGUGUGCUAUGUUGUGUAUCACCAGAACAGAUCGAGCAUAGAUCAUAAACCCAUUGUCGCGAUAGUAUGCCUUCAAAUAAACAGGUAAGAGUGCAGUGUGCCAAUCAUUUGCAAUGAAGACUAGGUUCCCAUCUCCAUAGCAGACACCACCACAUGGAACGUACCAAGGAGCCUGAAACAAGCUGAUUUUCUUCUAACAAUUGGAGUGUUGGAACAAUACAUAACGAAGAUACAAAAGAUAUGCUACCUUCAAUGUGUUAAAAAACUAUCUAUUUGUCUAUCUUUUGUUCUAAUGCGAAUUUCAACGUGAGCGAUAGAAAAUUUUGGUAAUUUUAGAAAUAUCAUUAAGAACAUGGUGGCAAACAUAUUCUCAAAUUUUAGUUUCUGCAAUUAAGAACAAGUAAUUUCCAUUUGGAAAUGAUGCUUUUAUAAAUAGUAAUAAUCUGGUUCCACCCACCAAAGUAUAAUUAACUCAACGUUAGGAAAAACUUUAAAGCGAAACCCAACUGUAUUCAACAAUUAUACUAUCAUUUCUAAACUAUUAUAUAGGUCAUCUCGUAAAAUCACUUAUUUCAUUUUACCUGGUGUUAGAAGUGUAUGCGUGCUGUUCUCUUCCAGACAUAUCGUCUAUUUACCAAAUAACGAAAACCCAAUAACACUUAGAGAACCUUGAAUUGUUAGAUGAAAUUGACGACGACCUUGUAAGGCUCAAGAAAGUACCUCUACAGCCGCUUUGCAGAACAGAACCAUCCGUCUCAAAAUGUCCUGCAUUUAAAUUAAGAGAAGCACAGUAAAGAUUAGAUAAGGUUUUUUUGCACCAUGAAAGUGCAUGGAACUGAAAGAAUUUUCUGAACAACUUGUACAGGAAAUUUUGUGAAAAAGGCAUCUGCAAGACGCUUUACCAGUCGAUUUCCACCAUAUAUGUUAUUUUCGAUGUGGCGAAAAAUAGGGCUAUCCAGGAAAACAAAAUCCACACCGUCGAUGUAGGCAUGAAAAUAGGUUACCUCCAUAUCCUGCAUAACAACAUAAAACAGAAAACCUGAAUAAAGAUGCUCCUCUACUCAAAAUCUUAAAUAAUGGAAACAAUAUAGUAUACCUGCCCAUCAACUUUGUACCUUCUACGUUCCCCUAUUUCUUGGGGUUCAGCAUAGUUUCCAUACUUUGGUGCUACUACCUACAAAACAAAAGGCAUAAACUAAACCAACCCUUUCAUACCUGUCAAUAUAGUAUUUUAUAUAUGAAAUUUUUUGAAUUUCUAACCAGACAAGCGGUUCCAAUAUAUUCCAGACUUCAUAAAAUGAUUUCUUAACACUCUGCUGUAACUUGGUACAGAUACGCCAAUUCUUAAGCAAGUAAAUUAAUCCAAGUCUUGAUUUAAAAUGAAAAAAAUAACUUGACUUUUUCCCUCAAAAUAUUCCACAGAUAUAAUAUAGAGAUAAAACAGAUUAUUGCAAUACAAACCAUGACACGAUGUCCUCUCCUGGCCAAAGCCUUUGGUAAUGCUCCAGCAACAUCUCCAAGUCCACCUAUAAAAUAUCAUCAAGUUGGGUAAAGAAAAUAGAAGCAACCACAUCUCAGAAUUCACUUCACACGCAAGGACAUCAAAUCAGAAGGAAGACAUAAAGCUAAAAAUUGCUAACAGCAGAAAACAUAGAAUGGAUAUCAAAAGGUUGAUGAAAGCAUAGAGCAAAAAUUGAACCAUAAAUACCUGUUUUGGACCAAGGAGCACAUUCUGCAGCCACCAAAAUGACAUUCAUGACAUUCUCCCAAGCCAAAGGAGGUGAAAUAUGAUGCUUUUCCUCAAUUGCUGCCUCUUGCUUUUUACUUGCUUCUGCCAGAUCAUCAAAAUUCUCAUCUUUCCCAUCACUGGGUCGAGAGAUUUGGGAAAGAAAUGGUGGCAAUCCGGAAUCUGGAGACUCUGAACUUCCCUCUCGAAAUGAUCCAACAGCAUGUUCAACGGAAUGUUGAUCUUCUAAGUUCUUAAAGUGAUCUUCCCCAUUGUUGAGAGACUCUCUAUGAACGCUAGCAGGAGAAGGAUUCAUGUUUGUACCAACUUCUGUGGAUUGGUUGUACCUAUUGGAGUAAGUCCCAGUGCUAUAUUUGUCCUCAAGCUCUUCACUGAUUAAACCUACAUCCGCAUUUGAAGAAUUGCCUUGCUGACUGUCGGAAGUUAGAUCCUGUUCCUUGGGAAUAACACUAUCCUUUAUUGUUGAAAUCACUUUCCUCCUUUCCACAAUCUGCACCGAAUUGAGGAAAUUCCAAAUUAACAGCAAGAACAAAAAGGCAGGUUUAGUAAUGCUACAAAGAAUGGUGACCAAUGACAGAUGAAAUGGAAUGGAUAAAAGCAUCUAAAACAAACACAAACAUAAUUAGUAAUAUUUACAAGGGGUCAAGAAUCUCAGGCUAGAAAGACAAAUAAUUCUGCAAAUUUGAUUUAAUAAUUUAAUAGCAAGAACAAAUAAGGAAAUUUAUUAAAUGCCGGAGGUAUGACAAUAAAUGACAGAUAUAAAAGAAUUAAAAAAAACACAAAUGUAAUUAAUAACAUUAACAAGGAUCAAGCAUCUCAGGCUAAAAAGACAAGGAACUUUGUGAAAUUGUAAAGUUAGUACCGCGAAAGUCAACAAGUCACAACAAAAUCUAAACAAACAGAAGCAAGGAAAUUACACGAAUGAGAAUGAAAGACCAGUUAACUCUUUCAAGUGUCAAAAUAUGCCAAAUGUCUGCAUAAAGACUCAGCUGUAGGGGUCUAAGUGUACUGUUACGCCAAAUUUUUUUUAUAAAUAAAUCCUAUGCCGUGGCUUUGCCUGAACAUUAAGAAGUUUUAGAACAAGUUAAGAAGAAAUUAGCCUUCUACUUUUUCUAGAUGAUUAUAUAAUGCAAAAUAGAAGUAGAAUGAGUUCCAACUGAAGCCAUGUAUAAUAUCAAAAGUAUCUCAUACACAUUUCUUAGUAUCCAAAGAACACCUGCUGAAGUAGAUUCCUCUGCAUAGCUAAGACCUUCUUGCUUUUCAUAAUUGUAGCACGAAGUGCAUCAUUGGUGAUAGCCUCGGCAUCUUCAUCAGUAUCAUCUUGUCCCUCAAUAUUGUCACUUCUUUCUGCCGCUUGUAGAGCUUUACCAAUCCCAUAGUUGAUCAACCUCGAAACUGCUGGCAAUUCACCACCUAUGGCUGUCAAAAACCUCAUCUUGCAAGCACUUCCAGAGAAACCAAGAUCACCGAGAUGGAUUUGGUUCUAAAGGAGAAUUCAAAAAAUUAUUUGAAGAUAUGCUAAAGAUAUGAAGAGAAUGAAGAAGAAUCAAAUUCUAUGAACUAUUCACAGAUAUAGGAAGAAGACUCCCCGUUAUUUAUUUAUUUAUUUUCUUAUGUUCAAUCUUUUGAAUGUAACAACCUAUGAGGGGUCUUUCUCAAAGAAAAACAAUCCAACAGAUAUUUGAUAAGGUCAAUUAUGAGAAUCUUAUGGCGGCCAAAAUAACAGAUUAGUUUGCUUCCUAAAAAUCCAUUCAAAAAAAAGAGAAAAGUUUACUUCGUAAAAUUUAUAAUUGUAACAUUAAAUUCUUAAGAGAUAUUCGACUCAGUACUCACAGCUCCAUACUGCUAGCUUUUAUUAGGUUUAAAAAAAGAAAAAAAAAAGGGGGGGUGUUUUUGAGGGGAGCUGAAGCAAAUCACUCUUUGAUCGAUUGACAUAAUUCUCCUCUUUAGAAGAUUGCAUGUCAUGUAGACAACAAGCUUGUGUGCCUGACGGUCAUUACAAUAGGAGUUAAAACCAAUGGACUCGUAUGGAUCGCAGUCCUGCGAUGAUUAGCAAAAAUUGCUACUUUGAUUUGUCUUCUGGAAGGUUAAUAUAUAAAGGCAUCGUGACUCCCUUCCCGGCUCGAGCAAGUGAAUCUGGAGUUGUCAGUAAGACAAGCAUAUAAUUAUGUAACUAUUUAAACACAGGAAUUCGCAAUGAUUUCCUUGAACCUUCUUGUACCGCGUGAUGCUAAACCUUGCAGAAUAACCUUCACAGCUACAUAAAGGUAAUUAAUACACAAUUUUAUGCUAGUUAUCCACAAUCUCCAAACUAAUAGCACAGUGGCCAAUUAGCAGAUGCAUUCUCUUUCUUUACUUUAAACCAACAUCAGGAUGCAUGUUUGUGUUUGAUUAAAGAGAAACAGUAGAUACCAACUUAACUUUAUGGCGUAAUUGUUUGGGGCCUUUUUUCUCUAAAAAAAGCUCAAAAAAGGAAGAGAUCCGACAAAAACCACUUGUAAUGACCUUUCAGUUAGGUAACUAAAAAGUUUAGAAGGGGUACCCUCCAUCUCCAUGUCAGUGAAUUUACACUAACGGAUUGAAGUGCCACAUCUCUGGGAAAAGCACCCCGUCAACAGGGGAUAACAUAUGCCAGGAAUCAACUAAAAGAAUAAAAGUGUGCGGAAGCUUAAGGCUUCGUUAGGGUUCCUUCACGGUUUUUUCUUCUUCCACGCGCCUGCGGCAGCGACCGGACGGACAGAGAGGAGGCCAUUUUGUUGCUGGUGGAUCAGGGAGCACCUCUUUAAAAAUUAAAAAUGAAAAGACACGACGACGACUACGAUGAGGAGGAUGAGCCGAAUGAGGCCGGUAAUUAUUAACGGCGAGUGAUCAGUGCUGAGAACCACCCCUGUUCACUUAUUACAAGAUAAAACGGUGGAUGUUUGAUCGGCCGGUGUGCGCUGAUGUUGUGCAGCACAAAAGGGAAGCUGGCGCUCCCCUUAUCUGCGCCUUCCGGAGCCGGCCCCAUUUCAGAGCAGCCACAAGCAUUCGUAAUUUCGCUCGUGCCCAGUGCCCACAACCUUUUCUUUUUAACAAAAUAAUAAUAAUAAUAAUAAUAGUAAUAAUAAAAUCCUGGCAGUUGUAUGUAUAGGUUAAUUAUAUAAUACAAAAAUAUAUCUUACCAUUGAUUUCCAAUUCAGUUCUGUUUAACUAUAGAACCUCAUAUCUCUCGCCAAAAAAAAAAAAAAAAAAAAAAACUCUAGAACUCUAACUAUAACUUUUAUAACAGAAAAAAAAAAAAACAACGUUUCAAGGAAAAAGAAAAUUGUAGGAUGACCUUUUUUUUUCCAAAAAAAUUAACAUGCUUGAAUUUAUUCUUGAAAAAAAAAUUAUUAUAAAUAUAAAUGAGAAAAUAUGCAUAGCAAUUUUUUCACUCCUAUAUAGAUUAGCUUUUAUAUAUAUAUAUAUAUAUAUAUAUAUUAUAAUAACUAUAUAUAUAUAUAUAGGACUACGGAUACUAUACAUUAUAGCCUAAUCAUUGGUGGCUACAAGUUUUUGAGUGCAUGGAUUAAGAGAUGUGCGUUAGGAUUGAUGUGGGCCCUCUAGGUUGAUGUGAUGGUUGAAUAGUAUGCAUCUAAUGGGAAAAUGACAAUAAGGGUAAAUUCUAAACGGCGGAAACUUGGUAGGCACCAAGUCUAUCUACUAUUAAUACAUAAUAGCUGGAACUCUAUAAUAGAUUAUAUAUAUAUAUAUAUACUAGUGAGUGUACGUGCAAAUGCACGUAACAAUUAUUUUAAUUAUUUAAUAUCAUAUAAAUUUAAGACACUUAUAUUUAUUUUAAAAUUAUAAUUUUAUAAAUUCAUAUGUUAUAUUUAUUAGAAAUAUUUGGUGAAUAUUAUAUUUUUAAGCAUAUAUAAAUUUUAUAUAUAAUUUUUAUCUGAUAUCUAAAAUUAAAUAUGAUGUUUAAACAAAAUAGCAUCACAAUUUAAUUCAUACUUAUUUUCAAAAUUUAAAAUCUUAUUUUUAUCCACUAUAAUAAAAAAUUUUUUGGAUAAAAUGCUAUCUUUUAACAAGACUUAAUCAUAACCGCGUCGUUCUUAUUUGAAGAUAUUCACUAAGUAAACCGUCACUUUUUAAUUGACACAACCGUCGUAAAGAUUGAAUUUUAAUAGUGGAUAAGAAGGCAUUUUAAACAGAUUAAUCAUAAACUGUUACAUUUUUAUUGUGAGAUUUUUAAUUACAGUGUCAUAAUGGUGUAAAAAUAUAGAACAAUAUUCUUUAUAUUUCAUUUUGGAUAUUUAGUAGAUGAUAAUAAUGCUACUUUUUAAACAGAAUUAAUUAUACCAUUGUCUUAAUUUGAAUUUUUUUUAAUUAAGUUUGAUCAUACCUGUUUGUAUCUUCCUAAAAAUAUAGGAAAUAUUUUUAUUCUUUUUUGAUUCCGUCUUUUGUCGAAUUCUAAUGCGCUUUAUAUAUAAAUAUAGUAAAAUGUACGUGCAAAUACAUUAAUAAUUAUUAAAAGUUAUAAUUUUUAAGAUUAUUUUUUUAAAUUUUAGGGCCAUUUAUAUGAUUGCCAAUUAUGUUAUAAAAAUUUAAAUAAUGAAAUACGCUAUUAAGAAAGAUAUCUUUAAA